rnacentral:ribozyme from 1 species
GCUGCUCGAAUGUUGUACAUCUCUCCGUGGUGGGCAGCAGGCAAUGUCAACUGUUUGAAAUGGCAGCUGAGAUAAAA